rnacentral:ncRNA from 1 species
UUGGACUCGACGAGAUCUUCCCGGGACUCUUCUUUCGGAAGCCUUGGAAAGGGGGCCCAAAAGGCCAGGCCGCGCGACUGAAAACAACGCGGCCGCUCCCUAGUCGGCCAUGUGCCGGCAACACCUUCGAAUUGCGGGGAUAUCCUAAAGCCCUCCCACACCAAGCCGCCCGGGAAACCGGGCGGUGGCUCGUGCUAGUCACACGGGGCAUGGUAACAGCGGGGAGGGAUCGAUGGGCGGGCUCCGGCCCGUCUGCGAAUGGACGAUCCGCAGCGAACCCCUAAGGCCGCGGCUACGGGGAGCGUCCACAGACUAAGUGGAGGUGGGUGGAGCGAGGCUCUGCUUAAAAUAUAGUCGGCCCCUCUGGGAAACCUGGGGGAUGAAGACAGCGUUCCGUAGGUGAACCUGCGGAAGGAUCAUU